AUCUUCACCGUCACGCUGCGCCCGGUCUCAAAUCCCGCUUCUUCCUGGCAGUCGCCGCUGGGGAUUUGUGAGUAACAGGCGGUCAUGCAGGUUUCGCUGUUGAUGUGGCGGACGCUG
rfam:Salmonella enterica subsp. enterica serovar Kentucky str. CDC 191 gcontig_1106389417314, whole genome shotgun sequence.